GACGAACGCUGGCGGCGUGCUUAACACAUGCAAGUCGAACGGAAAGGCCCUGCGCUUGUGGGUUGCUCGAGUGGCGAACGGGUGAGUGACACGCGUGUAAACUGCCCUUAACUUAGGGAGAACAUCAGGAGACUGGGGCGAAUACAGGAUAGAAGAUCCUGCAGCGUGUGGUGGGAUGGAGAGAUACGGCGGUUGUGGCUGUAUUCGAGGCUUAUCAGCUUGAUGGUGGGGUAGGGGUGGACAAGGGCUACGAAGGGUAGCCGGCCUGGGAGGGUGAACGGCCACAUUGGGACUGCGAUACGGACCAGACUCCUACGGGCGGCAGCAGUGGGGAAUCUUGCACAACGGGCGGAAGCCUGAUGCAGCAACGCCGCGUGCGGGAUGCCGUCCUUCGGGUUGUAAACCGCUUUCGCCUGUGCCGAAGCGUGAGUGACGGUAAUGGGUAAAGAAGCCCCGGCUAACUACGUG
rnacentral:rRNA from 1 species